rnacentral:lncRNA from 1 species
GUCCAGAGCAGCAUCUCAUCUUCUGCUGUUCCAUGCUUUGUAGAUUUCGAAUUUUAUUUUUCACAAUAUUUUUAUUUAAAGAACUUGUCACCUUUUGGAAAUGCAUAUUGCUGACUUGAAAUUUUUUGUAUAAGGUCCUUUGUUUUUGUGUGUGUGUGCAUUUAAGCAGUGUUGAGUUGGCAUAGUUUUAAUUUUUUAAUUUAAAUUAAAGGUGGCUGCCUCCUGAAAGCCAGCAUUAAGUCAGAACAUCCCGGCUCAAGCAAAGAGCCACCUCUGUGCAGAGGUGAAGUCUACUUCUGGUGCCCAAAAGAAAUCAUUCUUUAAUCUCUUGAAGGAAGAGGUUCUUUAUCAGGCUGCAAACCAGUUUUAAUUAUUGCUGAUGACUUAUAAAUGGAUACAAGUCACUUUUAACAACCCUUCUACUUUUUUUAUUUGAAUCUCUGAAUACCUGUCAGUAUUUUAAAGUUGGUAAUCCAGGACAUCUGAAGUAGUUGAAAGGACAAAUUAAAAGUGUAAAUCUUCUCUUCUUUUUGUACCUACUGGCUGCCUUUUUUGGCUUUUUUUUUUUUCCAUUCUUCAUUAAAUUUAUUUUGCACAGUAGUGUUUCUAAGUCUUAGAUAGCUUAACUCUUAACAGAAGACUGGUGACUAACAACCUCUUUUGAUUUGUGGUAUUGUGACUGAUUGCCUUCUCUGUCUUUCUUCAAGGAUUUUCCUUCCUUCCUUGUUUCCCCAGUGAUCUUAGGGCUCUACUGGCAUAUUCCUGUAUCCUGUUUGACAUAGAGAUGCCUCUUAAGAACAGCCUCAUUGCACUCUUUACUGAAGAGCUGCCCACCCAGAGUCUUGACUCUAGGACAGGCCAGAAGGCAGUGCUAUUGAGAGGUGUCAGUUGGUCUUCAGUCUCAUCUGCUGAACCCAGCUUUGAGUAUGAGUUGGCGAGUUAGUGAGCCUCCAUCCUAUGGAAGAGACUUUGGGAAGCUGUCCUUUGUCUCCGUUAUUAGUUAAUAAGAGGUGCCUUUUGAUCCAGAUGUUACCACCUCCUCACUUGGUCAGAGGAUGUACAGUUUUACAAAACUACUAAAGUGGAUUUAAAAUAGUUUUGAUGAAAAAUAGUUUUGAUGAAGCCCGUGCACAAAGCAUUACCUGAUCUUAAGGAAUAGUACUCUAAGCUAAGUUGACG